GCGACAGGCCUAACACAUGCAAGUCAGGGGCAGCACAGGAGCAAUCUGAGGUGGCGACCGGCGCACGGGUGAGUAACACGUAUGCAACCUGCCUGUAAGCGGGGAAUAACCCGUUGAAAGACGGACUAAUACCGCAUAAUACUAAAUUACUGCAUGGUAAUUUAUUUAAACAUUUAUGGCUUACAGAUGGGCAUGCGCAUGAUUAGCUAGUUGGAGAGGUAACGGCUCCCCAAGGCAACGAUCAUUAGGGGUUCUGAGAGGAAGGUCCCCCACACUGGUACUGAGACACGGACCAGACUCCUACGGGAGGCAGCAGUGAGGAAUAUUGGUCAAUGGACGAGAGUCUGAACCAGCCAAGUCGCGUGCAGGAAGAAUGUCCUAUGGAUUGUAAACUGCUUUUGCAGGGGAAUAAAGUGCAUCACGUGUGAUGUUUUGUAUGUACUCUGCGAAUAAGGAUCGGCUAACUCCGUGCCAGCAGCAGC
rnacentral:rRNA from 1 species